rnacentral:rRNA from 1 species
CUUGGUCAUUUAGAGGAAGUAAAAGUCGUAACAAGGUUUCCGUAGGUGAACCUGCGGAAGGAUCAUUAAAGAGUAAGGGUGCUCAGCGCCCGACCUCCAACCCUUUGUUGUUAAAACUACCUUGUUGCUUUGGCGGGACCGCUCGGUUCCGAGCCGCUGGGGAUUCGUCCCAGGCGAGUGCCCGCCAGAGUUAAACCAAACUCUUGUUAUUAAACCGGUCGUCUGAGUUAAAAUUUUGAAUAAAUCAAAACUUUCAACAACGGAUCUCUUGGUUCUCGCAUCGAUGAAGAACGCAGCGAAAUGCGAUAAGUAAUGUGAAUUGCAGAAUUCAGUGAAUCAUCGAAUCUUUGAACGCACAUUGCGCCCCUUGGUAUUCCGAGGGGCAUGCCUGUUCGAGCGUCAUUACACCACUCAAGCUAUGCUUGGUAUUGGGUGCCGUCCUUAGUUGGGCGCGCCUUAAAGACCUCGGCGAGGCCACUCCGGCUUUAGGCGUAGUAGAAUUUAUUCGAACGUCUGUCAAAGGAGAGGAACUCUGCCGAUUGAAACCUUUAUUUUUCUAGGUUGACCUCGGAUCAGGUAGGGAUACCCGCUGAACUUAAGCAUAUCAAUAAGCGGAGGA